CCAGAUAGAGAAUGUUGACCAUGUUUUAAUACAAUGUAGGAAAUACAAUAGAGAAAGAGAAAUACUGGAAAGUAAGUUAGCAAAAGAAAAUAUUAGGUUAGAAGUGGGAAGUAUAUUAGGAUUGCAUUCAGAACACAUAGGAUAUAAAGCAAUAUAAACAUAUUUAAAAAACACUGGGUUAAUAAAAGAAUAUAGAGUAGGGAUCCACCUCGGUCCACACUCCAUUACAGUAGGUGGCGCUAAUGCACACCACAAGGUUGCUUGCCAACCGCCAUAAAAACAAAAGAAGAAGAAGAAGUCAGUCUUAUUAUUUGUUCUCCAGUUUGAAAUAUUUACGUCGUAUAAAAUACAUCUUUGAUUCUUUAUUUAAGGAUAAAGUCGUCUCGAUGCGCUAGAAGCACUGUGCCGCUUCUCGUGCUAGCUUUGCUUGUUAGUUAGCUUAGCUGGCUAGUUAGCUUAGCUUGUUAGCUGCUAACAGAAGACACAGAAGUUAUCAACACAUCGCUAAGUAGAGAUCAAGUGUGAGAGUAAAGUGUUGUGAUUGUGUGAAAAUGUCUACAUUACAAAUGUUGAGAGCGUUGGUGGAUCAGCGACUAACUGCUGCUGUUGAAGAAAUAUUUGUAGUGUUGGAAAGAACGAUAGCAGAAUACCAGGCGGAACUUUCUAGAACAAAAGAGGAUUACAAUCAACUACUGGACGCUGUUUUCACGAAGCAUCAAGUUGUGUUACACAAAACAGAUUGCUCCACCCACUUCCUCUUGAGUGCCAGGAAAUGUUGACAGGGAUGGGACCGUUGCUAUGGUGCAGUUGCCAUGGUAACGUGAUUUAAUUGGGUUCAGGUAGGAGUAUUCAGGGCGAUUGCAUGGAGGACACAAACAGUUUAGGACGGUGCCGUGCGUGGUCAGGUCUCGCUGCUGUGACAAUGUUCCAUUCAAGCCAAGUACUGGACAUUGAAUUGAGCCACUCACGACUUCAUCUGGGACACAAAGGACAAGACAAAACGUGAAAGACAGCUUUAAGGACUUCAACACAAAAUGUGUGCAUCCUUUCUAACGGCCACUGGGGGGCAGUAGAGCCUCCAGCUGCUUGACCAUCGUGUCAAUUAAGCCACGAAGAAGAACAAACGGUAUGCCGUCAUAUGCAACCCAGCCCGUGCAAGCUACAUUUUUCCAGCACAAAAGUCGCUUUCUUAAACUGAAACCCAAUUUUCUACAUUAAAAUAUUAAUGACAUUUUGGAAAAUGGUAAAAAUGAUAAACAGCCUGAAAUUAUUAUCUCUAUUGGAGAAAUAAAGUUGUUUUAAACAAGCCCAGUUUUUAUUUAAUGUAUUUACUUAUAUAUAUUUUAUUUUAAUCUCAUUUGUAUUGUGUCUUAUUGUUCCAGGUCUGCUCGGUAUGAGCAUUGUAUUUAAUUUGAUGUAUUUUAUAUUCCUAUGUAAUUGUUGAACUUGCUAUAAAAUAUUGAAUGGUGUUGUGUUGAAAGUGCCUUGAUGUGUGUGUGCAUUGUAUAUGUAUGUUCAAUUAUUACAAAAACACAAACAAUUGAAAAUAAAACAAAAGUGAUA